GCCUUAAGGUGAAGGUCAUGCCAAACUGCAAAUUCGAAGGUGUAGAGAAAAUACUAUACUAAGGCUU
ensembl:Mt_tRNA